AGUGAACGCUGGCGGUGUGCUUAACACAUGCAAGUCGAACGAAGAACGGACUAAAGUUUACUUUAGUUGUCAGCUAAGUGGCGCGACGGGUGAGUAAUCUAUAGCUAACCUACCCUAAAGGAGGGGGAUAAUUAAUAGGUAAACGUUUUGUAACUACCCUAUACCUCUUAUCUACACAAGUAUAUAAGAAGUAAAACUUUAGUGUCUUUAGGAGUGGGGCUGUAUUGUAUCAGCUAGUUGGUGGUGUAAUGGACCACCAAGGCUAUGACGCAUAAC
rnacentral:rRNA from 1 species